CAACCAUAACUGCAGCACAAACCACUACAACUACAGCACCAACAACCACAACUGCAGCGCCAACGAAUACAACUACAACUAAAACUGCAGCACAAAGCACCACAACCCCUACAGAAGGGUCAACCACCAUUCAAAUUCCAACAGGCCCACAAGCACUUGCACAUCUAAAGGUAAAGAUGACUACAUACGGGCAGGUUAGCAAUGCAACCAUCAUUGCCCUUCUUGAACAGUUUAACACCAAGGUCCUGAAUGGAAUACCCCACAUUCUCUCUGUGACAAACAUUAAAAAAGUUGGAGCAUAAAAAUUGAAUGUGGACACAAGUCAAAAAUAAAAAUAUAAAGGCAAGAAUUUAACAGUGAGUUAGUAGAUUUGUUUCAACAUGAUCCGGAGCGGCAGUUUGCCUCAGUCGCUUCAUCAUAUCCUGAAUGAUUAGUACAUUGGUGUGAGAAGGAGACAUCAGCUGUGCUGCAGUGGUCGACAGCCUGAUGGGCUUGGAUUGCUCUGUGAAUGCAUGAAACCUAAACCUGGGUGAAAGCAGAUCAUAUUUAAAUAUCAAUCCCCUUACAUGAUCAUUUCUGAAAUUAAAUCAAACUGCAGAAACACAAUGCUGUAGUUCCCAUGAAUUACAAAUGCGCUUUUGGUUUAUCAUCUUGAAAAGUACAAUAGGCAUCUCAAACCAGGCAGCUGGCUAAUAAUGUCAAUACUUACUCACUCUGACAAAAUGGUGACUAGGAAAUCAAAUAAUUUAUAUGCUUUGAAACAAAAAGAAUAUUUUAUUUAUUGGUUACAUGUUUUAGUAAUAUCACUUUUGAGUCAUUUAAAAGUACAGAUCCGGAAAAGCAUUAAUUGUACUGCACACACAGCUAGGCCUCUGAGAAAGUGGGUGACACUCAGUGGGUGAGAAUUCCACAGGUGUUAGCUUACUGCUCACCGUGUCAAUAGAUUUUAAUUACAUUUCCGUAACAGAUUCUGGUUAACUCGGCUUUUCCACAUGGAAAACAAGGAAAAUUAUUACCGUUGGUGCAUAAAUACUGCACCCUAAUGAAGAAAAUAAAUCCGUUUUCAGAUAUUACUGACCAACAACACACUUUUUCCCCUUUGUGGUAUUAGAAUCAAAUCUGUUUUUCAGAAUUUGUUUUUGUAUGUCUGCUGAUUUGUACUGUACUUUAAACUGUGACUAAAUUUUACAAACUUGUCACUCCUGCUACUAAAGUCUCAUAUACACAGAAAUAUAUCGGAUUCUGAUUAUUCUGAAUAAAGAGAUAUAACCAUUUGUAAUGGCCAUUCUUUGUAUCAUUUAUUCUUUCAGAAUUCUUUUUAAAUGAAACUUUAUUCAACUUGUGAAUUUAAAGCAGAUUUAUACCCAUA